UACGUAGGGUGCAAGCGUUCUCCGGAAUUAUUGGGCGUAAAGAGCCCGUAGGCGGUUUGUCGCGUCUGCUGUGAAAACCCGAGGCUCAACCUCGGGCCUGCAGUGGGUACGGGCAGACUAGAGUGCGGUAGGGGAGAUUGGAAUUCCUGGUGUAGCGGUGGAAUGCGCAGAUAUCAGGAGGAACACCGAUGGCGAAGGCAGAUCUCUGGGCCGUAACUGACGCUGAGGAGCGAAAGCGUGGGGAGCGAACAGGA
rnacentral:rRNA from 1 species